AUUUGGAGUCGAAUAGGACUUGAUGUCAUGUGUAUGAUUGAGUAUAACAACUUAAACCGCAACCUGAUCUUAAAUGCCUAAGUAGUGUUUCCUUGUUAGAAGACACAAAGCCAAAGACUCAUAUGGACUUUGCCUACACCAUGAAAGCUUUAAAAAGAAAGAAGAAUGUUGGUUAGCGUUUUGGAGUCGAAUAUGACUUGAUGUCAUGUGUAUGAUUGAGUAUAAGAACUUAAACCGCAACCCGAUCUUAACAGCCUAAGUAGUGUUUCCUUGUUAGAAGAUACAAAGCCAAAGACUCAUACGGACUUUGACUACACCAUGAAAGCUUUGAGAAGCAAGAAGAAGGUUGGUUAGUGUUUUGGAGUCGAAUAUGACUUGAUGUCGUGUGUAUGAUUGAGUAUAACAACUUAAACCGCAACCCGAUCUUAAGAGCCUAAGUAGUGUUUCCUUGUUAGAAGACACAAAGCCAAAGACUCAUAUGGACUUUGGUUACACCAUGAAAGCUUUGAGAAGCAAGAAGAAGGUUGGUUAGUGUUUUGGAGUCGAAUAUGACUUGAUGUCAUGUGUAUGAUUGAGUAUAAGAACUUAAACUGCAACCCGAUCUUAUAAGCCUAAGUAGUGUUUCCUUGUUAGAAGAUACAAAGCCAAAGACUCAUACGAACUUUGACUACACCAUGAAAGCUUUGAGAAGCAAGAAGAAGGUUAGUUAGUGUUUUGGAGUCGAAUAUGACUUGAUGUCAUGUGUAUGAUUGAGUAUAAS
rnacentral:sRNA from 1 species